rnacentral:rRNA from 1 species
AUGCGGCCCUGCUUUGUGGGGAAUCCCACGUGCCUCAGAAAAUUGGAAUUAAAUGAAGGAAGUUUGGAAUAUUUACAGGUGGAUUCCUGUACGGCGUUAGAAGAAUUGGAAGUUGAAAAUUCUCAUUUGCUCGUCGCUAUAGAGGGCAUACAGUCACUUGGAACACUCAGAUCUUUGGUAUUGCUUGUGAACUCAAGCAUGGAAUCUCUACAGCUACAUUCGUGCACGGCGCUGGAACGUUUGGAAAUUCAGUACUGCAGUUCGCUCGUCUCACUAGAGGGCUUGCGAUCCCUCGUGAACCUCAAGCAUUUGAAAAUACUCUAUUCCCCUGCCUUGGGUUCCCUUACUCCAUUGGAGAGUUAUGAGCCAAUUGAGGGAAUUUCAAGUCAUAGCUAUGAGUUAUUCCCUGCACUGGAAAGUCUCGAGGUCCAUGAUUUGUCUCCCCUUAACGCGUCAUUCUGCAAGGGCCUCACCUGCCUCCGAAGCCUAAUGCUUAUUGAAUUGGAUGCAACGAGGCUAACAGAUGAGCAAGAGAGAGCGCUUCUGCUCCUCAGGUCCCUGCAAGAGCUCUGCUUUGUUGAGUGUGAGGAUCUCGUACAUCUUCCUGCGGGCCUGCAUGGCCUCCAUUCCCUCAAUACGUUGAAGAUCAUAAGUUGUAGUAGCAUCUCAGGGCUUCCGAAGGAGGGCCUUCCACCUUCACUGGAAAAACUGGAGAUCUACGACUGCAGCGACGAGUUAUCAGAAGGAUGCAGAUCACUUGCAACAAGCAAGCUAGAGGUCGAAAUUGAUGGGUGCUAUGUGAACUGA